CAGCAGCCGCGGGAAUACGAAGGGUGCAAGCGUUAAUCGGAAUUACUGGGCGUAAAGCGUGCGUAGGCGGUGAGUUAAGUCUGCUGUGAAAUCCCCGGGCUCAACCUGGGAAUGGCAGCGGAUACUGGCUCGCUAGAGUGUGUCAGAGGAUGGUGGAAUUCCCAGUGUAGCGGUGAAAUGCGUAGAGAUCGGGAGGAACAUCAGUUGCGAAGGCGGCCAUCUGGGACAACACUGACGCUGAGGCACGAAAGCGUGGGGAGCAAACAGGAUUAGAUACCCGCGUAGUCCCUGUCUCUUAUAC
rnacentral:rRNA from 1 species